GCUCCUCCACCCAUAGGCCACCAGAGCAUCCUCCCACGUGCCUCCCCCGCCGCGCCACGCCUCUCCUCGCGCCUGGUUGGGCAGGAGCCCGCCCGAAUGGCAUGGGCACCAGGUGGCCGUCGAACUCGGGCGCCGCCCCUCACCACCAAUGCCCGUGCCCGGUGCUAUGUCACCUUGCCAUCAUAACUCCUCGCCUCGCCCAGGCUAUAAAACGAUCCCUCGCCAAGCCUCCUGCCCCUCCAAACCGAUCUUCUCCUCCAUUAAUGAGCUCUCGAGCUCCUCUCGGUUCGUCAUCGAUUCCUCCCAUCUCCCUCCGUCUCCCUUCGAUUCCUCUCACCCAAAGCUGUGCCACUUCCCCAGCUACACCCUCAGCCCCUCCUCUCCCUCAAUUGUCCAUCGAAUCAACGGGAAUCAAAGUUCCCCCAAACUUCCAGGAACUUUUCACCUGCCACCACUACCUCUACAUGGCGCCCCAUCUCCCGGCUGUCCUCGUCCUCAACCAAGUGCUCAAAUGGAACCUAGAAGCGAACCUCACAAAUGGAACCUACGAGUUGACGCCUGCUGCCAAGGAAGGAUCUAAAGAGCUGCACCACGUCCAGGCUGAGCAGGAGAUCCCAGAAGCUGCUAGCAACUCCCCCACUAACAUAGUACAGGAAGGCAAGCCCCGGAGCAUAUCCCAGUUUUCUAAAAUUAUGCACUACUUGAGCUAGGUAGUGCUGAUUUCGAGGAAAUGGUUGCUAGUUUGACUUGGCCGACCUCACCCCUUCGGGUUGGACGGUCAAGUGGAAACCGUCCUCAGACAACGUGGAUCAUGGGAAUUGAUAUGAUGGUCAGCUUCGCCAUGGUAUUAUGUAUCGACGUUUAGACUUUCUCUGAGCUUUAUCUUCGUUGUUUGAAACCGUGCAAACUUUGUCUGAAUUUUUCAAACUCUGAGGUAAUAAUUGUGAACUAUGUUAAUGAUAUGGGAAUGUUGUAAUCUCUUUAACCA